UACGUAGGGUGCGAGCGUUUAAUCGGAAUUACUGGGCGUAAAGUGUGCGCAGGCGGCCGAGCAAGUCGAGUGUGAAAGCCCCGAGCUUAACUUGGGAAUUGCGCUCGAAACUACUUGGCUGGAGUGUGGCAGAGGAAGGUGGAAUUUACGGUGUAGCGGUGAAAUGCGUAGAUAUCGUAAGGAAGACCAGUGGCGAAGGCGGGUCUCUGGACAGUUCCUGACGCUGAGGCACGAAGGCCAGGGGAGCAAACGGG
rnacentral:rRNA from 1 species